rnacentral:misc_RNA from 1 species
UAACCACGCUUUUCCUCUUAAUUGGUAAUUCCCUCCCUUUCCUUUGUAAUUUUGUUUGUGUCAUUUUCAGCUCUCAACUCUGAUGUGUUUGCUUUUUCUUGGUGCUAUCUCUGUUGGGUACUUAACAAUAAGUCAAUUAGAGAACCCAGACCUUGUAGAGCUAUGCACUACUUUAUUAUUUUUUUUUGUGGAAAGGCCAUUUGAAUUGUUGAUUUUAUUUGUAUAUUGGGUCAAUGAAUACUUGAACUUAUUUCAAGUGUUUCUUUGAGCAAAUGCAUGGAUUCUUAUAGUCCAGUGUGGCUGCAUUAGAACAUUGGCUGGGACUGAGGUUUUGGGAUUAUUAUUCCCAUGUCAUUCCAAAAUGUUAUAUUUCAGCAUUUUUGGAGGACGAAUAGAUGUAUUUAUUGCUUCUCAUCACAUGAGAAAGAUUAAUUUUUGUGGCAACUGUUCUGAACAUAGUUAGCAUUUUUUCACAAGUUUUUCGCUCACCCGCGAUUUGUGAAUUUAACCAUAGGGGCUAGAAUUAAAGUUAAAGUUUGUGGAAACUGAGGAAUUCAAUCUGAUGUAAAUCUGGGGAAGACUGGUUUUAAAAUCAGUUGAUGCUUUCCUGAGGUUAGAGAAUGAAUGGCAUUGUUAAUUCAUUGCCCACUAGCAAAUAAGGAAAAGAAGAGGGUUAUUUUACUUAUCUGGAUAGAUGUCUUGAAUGAAUGAUCUCUGUCAUAUCUGAUGUUUCAACUACCAUUUACACUUCAUUGUCUGCCAAACAAUGUUGGGAAGACCAAAAAAUAUUUCCUACAAAAUAUUAUAAUUUGGAAGUACUUUCCUUUGCAGUUCGCUUGUUCAAACGCACAA